rnacentral:rRNA from 1 species
GUGGGGAAUAUUGGGCAAUGGGCGAAAGCCUGACCCAGCAACGCCGCGUGAAGGAAGAAGGCCCUCGGGUUGUAAACUUCUUUUAAGAGGGACGAAAGAAAUGACGGUACCUCUUGAAUAAGCCACGGCUAACUACGUGCCAGCAGCCGCGGUAAUACGUAGGUGGCGAGCGUUAUCCGGAUUUACUGGGUGUAAAGGGCGUGUAGGCGGGAGUGCAAGUCAGAUGUGAAAAUUAUGGGCUCAACCCAUAACCUGCAUUUGAAACUGUUCUUCUUGAGUGAUGGAGAGGCAGGCGGAAUUCCGUGUGUAGCGGUGAAAUGCGUAGAUAUACGGAGGAACACCAGUGGCGAAGGCGGCCUGCUGGACAUUAACUGACGCUGAGGCGCGAAAGCGUGGGGAGCAAACAGGAUUAGAAACCCUAGUAGUCC